UGGGGGUGGGACGUGGUGGGGAGUAAGAGGCAGCAGUGAUUGUGUAGAUGUUGCUGAAGACUUCGAAAGUUUUGUGUCAUCUGGUUGUGGGAACCAGAUUAUAGUGGGUUGUGGUGUGAUUGGAGGACAAGGAAGUGGAGGAAGUGUGGGCUACCGUUCUGAGAAAUUCUGUGGCAAAAUCAGAGGGCGAUAGGGCAGUUAUCCUGCUUGCAUAUGGUUGGAUGUUAGAGUAAGAAGAGCCAGGGCCUGGUCCUUAAUCCUAGAUAAGUAGGUUUAAGGUCUGCAGGUAGGUAUUGCCGGUAGACACAGAUGCUCUGGAGACAUCCAGAGGCUGACAGUUUGUGGGGCAGGGUGGGGUGGGGAGAUCCCUUUCUGCCUGGGGGUUGUGAGCGGCAUGCAGUUCUGCACUUCUGAGACUGUCUCGGGAACAGCCAGUUUGAAAACUUGUUCCUUCCCACUGUGGGGGAAUGAUACUUUUGCUAAAUGUUAAUUUAAAAAAAUCCAACUCUUAGAAAAAUAAUCAUACUCCUGGAUAUUGUGGCAAUGUCAAAUGAAUGACUAUAAAAGUUUCUGAACACUCAUUUUCAAUUUCUGUAUCUCAUUGUAGGCUGGUGACGGUUGGUGGAGGUUCGCAGGCUGCACGUCUCUGCGUAGCACCAAUGUAGUGGAAGCCCAGGCUUUAUUCUCUUUUGUUACAACAGAUUUCCUUCAAUUAAUGCAGUGGCAAGGAAGGUGGCAGGUGAGUGACCCAUUGUCUGCUUGGGGAAUAGAUCUCUAAUCUUACUGUCCUUUUAAAAUGUGAAUGUAAAUUGGGUUACAGCUAGUUUGCCAUUGAUGAUACAUACAACAAUUGUAGCUCCCCUUUAUGUGGCGGUUCUUACUGGGUGUCUUAUGAGCAGUUUAUUAUCUCAAGUGGAAUUUGAAACAUUUCAUUGUUGUAGUAAAAAAAAUCUUUAUUUCCAAAAGGAUUGGUUAGCCAGGAAAACUAUAAACUACCUGACCCAAGACUUUGGUAAGAAAGAGAUUUGAUGCUUCUUAUAAAUUCCCCCUUGCAAAAGAAAUAACACUUACGUAACAAGAAACAGGUUACCCAUUCUCAGCCAUUAACCAGUUACCUGGUUUUAAGUCUCCACAAUUAGGACUUAAAAUGUAUCCUAGAGAGACCUGAUAAGAACACGAGACACUAGGGUGGCUUGUUCUUAGACUUAUAUAGGAAUCACUGAUGUGUGGAACUUUGAUUUUUGUGUGUUAAAAAUAAGUAUGCCAGGCAUAAUGUUGCACAAGUGGGCAGAUUCUGUAUCGAGACUUUCUGUCCAAAUUAAACCUCUUAUUUCUUUAUAUUAUGCUCCUUUGUGGGGCAAGAUAAUUCAUUUAAAGAUUACAAAGAUAAUACGGGACACAACUCAAAGUUCCAGAAGACUCUGGGAUGUGGUAAUAAUGGUCCCUCUCCAACGAGGGAGCAAAAAUCAUUAUCUUAUGCCGAAUAUGAAUCAGUGGGCUAACUGAAAAAGGCCCAACCUUCUGAACACUUAAUAGUUUAAAAACACGAAGACAGACCCAAAUGAGUUUUUUAUUGAAGAUUCAGGGCUAUAUCAUAUAUGUGUGGUGUUUGGAAAUAUCCUGAUGUGUUUAAUGCAUAUUCUUAAAGUAAUGUACUCAAGACACUGAAUGCAUCUCAUCCAUGGUACAUAUUUGGACUAAGCGUAAUGAUAAACCUGCAACAGAAAUGAAAGUUUUAACAAUAAACGAAUGAAUAAAAACAGCUGCUGUACUCAGCUCAGUAAAAAUGUCUUCUUA